CGGUGGCUAGUUUAACUAAAAUCCCUAAUUUCGACUUAGCCGAUCCCUUUGGAGGGGCCACCAA